rnacentral:rRNA from 1 species
UACAGAGGUGGCAAGCGUUGUUCGGAAUUACUGGGCGUAAAGGGCGCGUAGGCGGUUCGUUAAGUCCUGUGUGAAAUCCCCCGGCUCAACUGGGGAACUGCGUCUGAGACUGGUCAGCUUGAGUGCAGGAGAGGAACGCGGAAUUCCAGGUGUAGCGGUGAAAUGCGUAGAUAUCUGGAGGAACACCGGUGGCGAAGGCGGCGUUCUGGACUGCAACUGACACUGAGGAACGAAAGCCAGGGGAGCAAACGGG